CACGAACGCUGGCGGCAGGCUUAACACAUGCAAGUCGAGCGCCCGCAAGGGGAGCGGCAGACGGGUGAGUAACGCGUGGGAAUCUACCCAUCUCUACGGAAUAACGCAUGGAAACGUGUGCUAAUACCGUAUACGUCCUUCGGGAGAAAGAUUUAUCGGAGAUGGAUGAGCCCGCGUUGGAUUAGCUAGUUGGUGAGGUAAAGGCCUACCAAGGCGACGAUCCAUAGCUGGUCUGAGAGGAUGAUCAGCCACACUGGGACUGAGACACGGCCCAGACUCCUACGGGAGGCAGCAGUGGGGAAUAUUGGACAAUGGGCGCAAGCCUGAUCCAGCCAUGCCGCGUGGGUGAUGAAGGCCCUAGGGUUGUAAAGCUCUUUCACCGGUGAAGAUAAUGACGGUAACCGGAGAAGAAGCCCCGGCUAACUUCGUGCCAGCCGCCGCCGUAACAC
rnacentral:rRNA from 1 species